rnacentral:rRNA from 1 species
UACGUAGGGGGGCAAGCGUUGUCCGGAAUCAUUGGGCGUAAAGAGCGUGUAGGCGGCCCGGUAAGUCUGUUGUGAAAGUCCAGGGCUCAACCCUGGAAUGCCGAUGGAUACUGCCGGGCUAGAGUUCGGAAGAGGCGAGUGGAAUUCCUGGUGUAGCGGUGGAAUGCGUAGAGAUCCGGAAGAACACCGGUGGCGAAGGCGGCCUGCUGGGCUAUGGCUGACACUGAGGCGCGACAGCGUGGGGAGCAAACAGG